CAGACGAAAUCCAUUUGCAAGACCUUACGACAUCAUAUUUAACAUAGUAACGGGACCCGGUAGUAAAAGGGCAGCUGUCAAUUUGAUCGGCUGAUGAUCAAUCGGCAUCUUUUUCACAAGGAGACAGUUUCCGAGCCAGAGAUUUAAAGGAAUCAAUGCAAGUGACACUACAGCAAGAAACGAGGAGGAGAUACGAAAAAAGUGUAUGGAUCUUAAGACAGCAGUUCAAAAGGCAGAAAGUGAAAGGAAGGAAAACCAAAGAAGAACCGGUGGGGCCAACCCCUUAUGUACUCUCCUCAAUGGAAAAAGGAUAAAUAAAAUAUAUCUAAGUUGAUUCCUCGAUGUGCAGUGGAUCUUUGAGAAUGCAACUCUACUUUUGGCUUUGGGAUAGAGGCCGAAGAAAUAGAAGUAGAUAUGUGUCUUGGCAUGGCUGUUGAUGCCUUUGAAAGUGACAGCCAAACUGCCCUAACACCAAACUCAGGAUGACUACAUGAAGACCCUGUCCGGGUAUGAAGACAGGAAAGGGAAGCUCCUUGAGGGCACUCUGUGUGAGCUGAGAUCCCUCAGAGAUAUUCAGCAGCAGGAGAGGCUCAACCUGGAAAGAGAACAAGUUCAGUUCAUGCAAACCAUGGACAGUAACAGCAUGCUGUCUUCAAUCAUAAAGUUUUAAAUACAUGGACCUUAAUAAA